UGGGGAAUAUUGCACAAUGGGGGAAACCCUGAUGCAGCUACGCCGCGUGAACGAAGAAGGUAUUCGUAUCGUAAAGUUCUGUCCUAUGUGCAGAUAAUGACAGUACCAUAGAAGAAAGCUCCGGCUAAAUACGUGCCAGCAGCCUCGGUAAUACGUAUGGAGCGAGCGUUGUCCGGAAUUAUUGGGCGUAAAGGGUACGCAGGCGGUUUAAUAAGUCGAAUGUUAAAGAUCGGGGCUCAACCCCGCAAAGCAUUGGAAACUGAUAAACUUGAGUAGUGGAGAGGAAAGUGGAAUUCCUAGUGUAGUGGUGAAAUACGUAGAUGAUAGGAGGAAUACCAGUAGCGAAGGCGACUUUCUGGACACAAACUGACGCUGAGGUACGAAAGCGUGGGGAGCAAACAGG
rnacentral:rRNA from 1 species